AGUACUUGCAAGACGAGCAUACAAACAGUGUGUUACUAUAUUCAGAAUAACUGUAUCUCCAGUUCCUUUGUUUGGUUUUUGCUGGUUCGUGAAUAAUGGCUGGACGACAGCUCGCCUUCAACUCGCCUUCAACUCCUCUCCGCGGUCAGCAAGUUUCGGCCAGUCCGCAGACACACGAGAAGAAACUGCUGAAUGCUCUCAGUGGAUUGUCUCGUCAACUCCAACAACAAACUGCCGAUAUCAACGAGCGGUUCGCCCCACUGGAGCGUUCGGGACUCUCAGGUUUCUGUCCAUGGAGGAAAGGAUGGCGGCUCUGGAGGAACUGACUCAAAGAAGAGGAGACGGGCGCACAAUCCCAAGAUAGCGGAAGCGGUGCGCCGUCUUCACAACUCCGAGACGAAUUACAGGCGCCACGAACCGGAGCAAGGACUAAUCUUGCCUGAUAAUGAGGCGGUGACCUCGUAUUUGCUCCGGGAAAAGUCCAGAUUUAGACGACGUCAUUGUGUAUGUAUUUUGAGACGGUACGCAGGAGCUUCAGGAUUUCCAGCCGGACACUCAUUGCGGGCGGAAG
ensembl:lncRNA